ACGAGUGGCGGACGGGUGAGUAAUGUCUGGGAAACUGCCUGAUGGAGGGGGAUAACUACUGGAAACGGUAGCUAAUACCGCAUAACGUCGCAAGACCAAAGAGGGGGACCUUCGGGCCUCUUGCCAUCGGAUGUGCCCAGAUGGGAUUAGCUUGUUGGUGGGGUAACGGCUCACCAAGGCGACGAUCCCUAGCUGGUCUGAGAGGAUGACCAGCCACACUGGAACUGAGACACGGUCCAGACUCCUACGGGAGGCAGCAGUGGGGAAUAUUGCACAAUGGGCGCAAGCCUGAUGCAGCCAUGCCGCGUGUAUGAAGAAGGCCUUCGGGUUGUAAAGUACUUUCAGCGGGGAGGAA
rnacentral:rRNA from 1 species